AACGAACGCUGGCGGCAUGCCUAACACAUGCAAGUCGAACGAGACCUUCGUGUCUACUGGCUCACGGGUGCGUAACGCGUUGGAACCUGCCUUAGUUUUGGGAUAACUCAUUGUAAUUUGAGCUAAUACCCGGUGAUUUCUUCCGGCCAAAGACUUAUUUCCUUUGGAUGGUCGCGCGGUUGUUUGGGUAGUUGGUGAGGUAAAGGCCUACCAACGCGUCGGUCCGUUGCUGGUCUGAGAGGGUGAUAAGCCACACUGGGACUGAGACACUGCCCAGACCCCUACGGGAGGCAGCAGUAGGGAAUACUGGAGAAUGGGCGAAAGCCUGAUCAAGCAAUGCCGCGUAAGUGAGCAAGGCGUUAGGGUUGUACAGCUCUUUUACACGAGAUGAUAAUGACAGUAUCGGGAGAAUAAGCUCCGGCUAACUCCGUG
rnacentral:rRNA from 1 species